AACGAACGCUGGCGGCAUGCCUAACACAUGCAAGUCGAGCGCCCGGAGCGAUCCGGGAGCGGCGCACGGGUGAGUAACGCGUGGGAACCUGCCCUUAGGUUCGGGACAACCGCGGGAAACUGCGGCUGAUACCGGAUGAUGCCCGAGGUGGAAACGCUUUGGGCCAAAGAUUUAUCGCCUUUGGAGGGGCCCGCGUCGGAUUAGGUAGUUGGUGGGGUAACGGCCCACCAAGCCUUCGAUCCGUAGCUGGCUGAGAGGAUGGCCAGCCACACUGGGACUGAGACACGGCCCAGACUCCUACGGGAGGCAGCAGUGGGGAGUAUUGGACAAUGGGGGCAACCCUGAUCCAGCGACGCCGCGUGGGUGAAGAAGGCCUGCGGGUUGUAAAGCCCUUUCGGUGGGAAGAAAAGUCUCGACCUAAUACGUCGGGACCUUGACGUAACCCACUAAAGAAGCACCGGCUAACUCUGUGCCAGCCGCCGCAGUAAU
rnacentral:rRNA from 1 species